rnacentral:SRP_RNA from 1 species
GCCGGUGCCGUGGUGCAUGCCUGUAGUCCAAGCUAUUCAGGAGACUGAGACUGGAGGAUCGCUUGAGUCCAGAAGUUCUGGGCUGUAGUGUGCUAUGCCAAUUGGGUGCCGACACUAAGUUCGGCAUCAGUAUGGUAAUCUCCUGGGAGUGGGGAACCACCAGGUUGCCUAAGGAGGGGUGAAGUGGCCCAGGUCGGAAACAGAGCAGGUCAAAACUCCCAUGCUGAUCAGUGGUGGGAUCGUACCUGUGAAUAGCCACUGCACUCCAGCCUAGGCAACAUAGGGAGACUGUCUCU